AUGCACUGGUUUGCCUGGUGGAAGCUUUGUGUUCCAAAAGAGAUAGGAGGAAUGGGGUUCAGAGUUCCUCACCGUUUUAAUUUAGCUAUGUUAGCUAAACAAAUAUGGAGAUUAAUUGAGGCUCCAGACAGCUUAUGCGCAAGAGUUUUGAGAAGUAAGUACUAUCCUGAUGGCAAGAUACUUAAUGCUAAACUUAAAUCGGGUUCAUCUUUUACUUGGCAGAGUAUAUUGUCAGGG
rnacentral:rRNA from 1 species